rnacentral:lncRNA from 1 species
CUGCAGUGUUAUGAGGCAACAAUGGGGACAGGCUCACAAAGAAGGACUGAGGCCUGCCAACCACCACACAUGUGAGCUCCAGGAUGGACUUGUCCUAGCUAGCCCCUGCCCCCACCCGGAAUGUGACUGGCUGCUCAUGAAAGAUGUAAUGCCAGAUGUACUGACCUAAACCAUGUCUUUGCGAUAACAGAAACAGUGAGAUAAUGCCUUUUGUCUGCUUUAAGCUACUAAAUUUUUGGCAAUUUGUUAAGCAAGAACAGAUUGAUAUAAAAAAGAUUAGAACUGAAACUAACACGGAAAUGAAAGAUGAAUGAAGAGAGAAGAAAAGGCACAGUUCUGUUUUUUUCUUCACAAGAAUCAAGCUUGAUCUUGGAAAUAAAAAGUGAAAUAUGAAAUAAGCAGUGCUCAAGUAAAGAUAUAAAAAGAAAAUAUAACAGAGAAAGAUAACCAUUUUCAGAACACAGGAGGAAUGAGGACAGAAUUUGAGAAGAGAAACCAGGUUACUCUCACUGAGUUGUCACUGGUCCCUGUUUUCAAACUUUCUGUGGCUUUGAAGCCCACAAAACAAAAACUGAGAGGGUGCCAAAAAGAGAAGAAAACGGUGCCUGUGCCCAGAUUCCAGUGUUGGAUUUUGGCAGGCAUAAGAAGAGAGAAUACCAUGCAUGAUCAAGCACAGGUACCUGCACAGUGGGCUAAUCACUCUUAUUCUUGCUGUGAGGGGGGUUUUGUGAUGUUUGUGUGUUAUCCAUCACCUGGGAAUAGCCAACACCACUCUCAACAAGUAGGAUCUUCUGGAUAUUAUGCAAGGGGAUGCAGUAAAUCUCAGGUAUAAUUAAGAGCUCAUUUGAAAUGAAUUUUAGGUUUAAACGAGGAAGAGCAGUUUGCAAAAUAGAGGAACUAUCCUGCCAGGAGAUAAUGUUUGCUAAACUGGUAAGCAUGUGAGAAGACCAAACUGAAAAUUUAAAUUAUUAUCCUCUGAAGAGUAAGAGAACGGGUC